rnacentral:rRNA from 1 species
UACGUAGGGGGCGAGCGUUGUCCGGAUUUAUUGGGCGUAAAGAGCUCGUAGGCGGUUUGGUAAGUUGGAUGUGAAAUCUCCAGGCUCAACUUGGAGGGGUCAUUCGAUACUGCCAUGACUAGAGUUCGGUAGGGGAGUGUGGAAUUCCUGGUGGAGCGGUGAAAUGCGCAGAUAUCAGGAGGAACACCCGUAGCGAAGGCGGCACUCUGGGACGGUACUGACGCUGAGACGCGAAAGCGUGGGGAGCGAACAGG